AUUCCAUUAAUGAAAUAAAAUGCAGCUGUGCAGAAGGGUGAUCGAUUCACUGGGUUUAGUCAGACUAUUUGGUGGUGUCUAAGAUGAUAUAAAAGAAUAUUUUCAAAAGUUGUAUGAAACAAACUGCAGACAGGAGAUGAUUUUGUGCUGUUGAUAAAUCUGAUUGUGUGUGGGUAUGCUGAAGUCAAAGGAGAAUGUUCCAUUUUUAUUCUUUUUUUUUUUUUUAUGUUGGUGUCUUCCAAUGGAGUAGCACAAAGCAUCUUAAGAUUUAAUUUGUUCUUGUUUCAAUGUUGAAGGAUUUAUAUUCUUAGCAGUAGCCUCCUGAAGCAGGAGUUAGGGGUUUUUAUUCCUUGCAGUUAAAAGUUAUUUCAGUUGAUAUUAAAAAUCAUUGUUGCAUGUAAUGCUCGCAGAGUGCAAGCAGCUGUUGCAAUAUAUGUGUAAAGGGAAAUACCUCUAGAUGAAUACAGUGUAUGCUGUUAUGCACGAUGCUUGGAUACUUUUGGAAAUUCGCCUUGUUUAGUGCCAUGUAUCUGCAGUCAGAAAUACAUUUAUGAGCUAUUUGCAACUAUGCAUGCGCUAAGAAUCGCAUAGAAAAACUGGCUUUGAUUAAAGAUGUCUUGUAUAAAACAACUGUAUUUUCUCUGUGUUGCCUGCAGUUUUACAGGAUGCAGGUCUAAGAAAUGGCUGACUGCCCUUCCUGCAAAACCCUGUCUCAAGCAAUUAUUUCUUUUUGCUCUGUGCUAGUCCCUUUGACUGUCCCAGGGCUAAGUGUGCAAGUGAGAGUUGCUCAGGCGAGUGUUGCGGUGCAUCGUACCCAUGAAGGAAAAAUUGCAUUGGGAUGGUAGAGGGAACACAAUGACAUUUUUAACACAGGUGUAAUGGUAGGUCUCGGAGAGAGAACGGUGCAGCAGUCAGUUGGAAACUUCAUCCUGCUGGAGUAAAACUGUGUGCCAAGUCCUGGCGGUGUUGCCGUUCCCCCUGGGCUUUACUGGGGUUAUUGGUAUGAUUACAGUAAACUGGACUUGGCCUGGUAAAUCUCUGCUGUUAAACAGAAUUUAUGGGAGUUCAUAAAAGAAACCCAAAAAGUUUUAGGAUCCGCUGCGCUUUCGGCAUCUUCCCAGGUUAUGAUUUUAACAACUAACUUUAAACUUGGAGUGAAGCGGGGAGAAGUGCACUGAUGAUAGGAUGGCUUACUUAUAGCCUGUCUUUCCUCUUGUAGGCAUCGCUCUUGCUACCGUCAAUGGGAGCGUUACAUUUGGAAGUGCAUCCAGGGUUUGGUUCGAUCCUUUUAUCGGUGCUAAAGACAGAUGCAGGGACAAAUCUUCAGCAGCUGUAAAUUGAUGUAGUUCCAUUGUUUUUAAGAACAGUGUAGAUUUACACCAGCUGAUGAUACGCCCUUCUGCUUGUAAUGUGCAGGAUCUGUAACCUGCAUUGAGUGGUAUUAUCAGUUUUGAUGGUGUUAAUUUCAGAGUAGGAAAAGGAUUUUGGCAGACUAGCAAAUCCUUGUUUAUAGGGACUACUCACAAAUGGGCUUGAUCCAGUGAGUGCUCCCAGCUCAAGUUAUUCACUCGGUUGUAAAGAGAAUUUGUAACUUCCGUGAUUACUUAAAGAAAAUGCUAUUGGUGUUAAGGAAUCUGUUUUUGAAAAUAUAAUUAAAGAUUGGCUAGUUGAGAAGCAAUGUAAUUACUGUGCAAUAAACUUGCAAAAUCUGUUUGUCCCCUGCUCAUUCAUUUAUUAGAUCUGAAGUUCUGUAUUAAUAUUCUCAGCAGGUAGUAAGUCAAGCAAAUGGGUCACUUUUUCUUCUAGAAGAUUGAAACAGUCAUCAAACAAGUAAUAUAUGGUACAGACUCUGUGUGUUCCAGUGGAGAGCACUUGGUUCUGAAGACUUAAAAGUGCUGGGUAUGAACAUUUCUGUGUCUGGCAACAUGCAUUUCUAGGGCGCGUUCUCUUUCGAUGGCAAACUGCAACCCAGGUUGACUAUGAUCCGUCAAACUCUCUGAAGGACCAGCAUGGAGAUUGGCACUCUGAACUGUUAAUGGGGACAUGGGACUCACGUUGUCGUUGAUCACUUGUGUGGACUUAACCAGCGAAGAGCAACAGAAGACAAUAGGAAGACAGUGGGAAUUAUAGCAGACUUUCAGGUCACCAGAUCUUGUUGUUUUAAUUUCUGUCUGGAAGAAUGUCUGAGCAAGGUAAAUUGAACCAGGAGACAGCAGAGGAAGCUGUGAAGGAGCAGGAGACUGCCAUCUUGGAGGUGAACCCGGACAACUGUAUCCUUACUAAAUCUGAAAGCUCGGAAGUGGACGAGAAGGACGAGAAGCAGAGUGAUGCCAAGACAGAUCUGCAGAAACGAGGUGGAAAUCAGAACCAGCAGAAAAAGAGAUCCAAGUCAGGAGCUAAAGGAAAACUUGUCCGGAGCCUUGCUGUGUGUGAAGAGUCAUCCCCGCGCCCAGCGGCAGAGAAUCUUCAUGACAAUCAGGAAUCAAUCCAACUACAGCUCUCAAGUUUUCCUAGCUUGCAAGAAGAAGAUAAAUCUAAUAAAGAUGACUCCGAGAAAGAAAAGGAGAAGGAAAGAAAUAAAGAAAAAGAUAAAAACAGUGAAAAGAACAAGAUCAGAAUGUUAUCAAAAGAUUGCAGCCAAGAGUAUACGGACUCAACAGGCAUAGAUUUGCAUGAGUUUCUCAUUAACACAUUAAAGAAUAACCCCAGGGACAGAAUGAUUCUCUUGAAAAUGGAACAGGAAAUUAUUGAUUUUAUUAGUGACAACAAUAAUCACUAUAAAAAGUUCCCUCAGAUGUCGUCAUACCAGAGGAUGCUGGUGCACAGAGUGGCAGCUUACUUUGGGAUGGAUCACAAUGUGGAUCAGACUGGGAAAUCUGUAAUUAUUAACAAGACCAGCAAUACCAGAAUACCAGAGCAAAGGUUUUCUGAACAUUUAAAAGAUGAAAAAGGUGAAGAAUCCCAGAAGCGAUUUAUCUUGAAGCGAGAUAACUCUAGUAUUGAUAAAGAAGACAAUCAGCAAAACAGAAUUCUUCCAUUUAGAGAUGACAGACGAAGUAAAUCAAUUGAAGAGAGAGAAGAGGAGUAUCAGAGAGUGAGGGAGAGAAUAUUUGCACAAGAUUCAGUUUGCUCCCAGGAAAACCUUUUUGUGGAAAACAGUAGGCUGUUGGAAGACAGUAGCAUAUGCAAUGAUACCCAUAAGAAAAGACAGCUUUUUAGGGGUAACAGGGACAGCAUGGGGAAGGCAUCCGGCAGUCGACAGAGCAGUACAGAAAACGAACUGAAAUGGACAGACCACCAGAGACCAUGGAGCAGCACAGACUCAGACAGCUCAAAUCGAAACUUGAAGCCAGCCAUAACAAAGACAGCCAGUUUUGGUGGGAUAACCGUCCUGACAAGAGGAGAUAGCUCAUCAAGUAACAGAAGUACCGGCAAACUGUCUAAAACAGGUAGCUCAGAGUCUUCCAGCAGCGCUGGCUCCUCAGGAUCACUGUCACGGUUACAUCAGCCUCUCCAAAGUGCAUCUCUUGUCCCCGGGGUGACGGCCAGCUCUUCGGGCAGUGUGUCCUACCCUGAGAAUGGGAUGAGUGGCCAGGUGGCCCCCAGUAACACCAGCUAUAUCAUUCUUCCACUUGAAGCUGCGGGGAUACCACCUGGCAGCAUCCUUCUGAACCCACACACAGGUCAACCGUUCGUAAAUCCUGAUGGGACACCGGCAAUAUACAAUCCUCCCAGUGGCCAGCAGACGAUGAGGAGCCAGAUGGUGGGACAGUCUCAGCAGCAGCCUUCAUCCCAGCAGCCUCAGCAGGUUCAACAGCCACAGCAGCAAAUGGCAAGUCACCUUGUCACACAGCCUGUUCAGGCAAUGCAGCCAUCUUCUCAGUCAGUCCAAUAUCCAGCAGUUUCUUAUCCUCCCCAGCAUCUCCUGCCAGUCUCUCCAACGCAGCAGUUUUCUGUGCGAGAUGACAUGACAACACAGUUUAACCAGAUGAGCUUGAGCCGUCAGUCGUCGGGAGACAACCCUGAGUCGCCGUCUGGUCCUGUGUACCCAUCGCCUAUCUUGCAGCAGCCUGCCCAGCAGGCGGGUUACAUUAUGGCUUCUCCAAGUCAGCAGCUUCCCCCAGGAGGCUUUACAGGUUCAGGUCCACCAGUAUCCCAGCCAGUGCUGCAGCCACCACCUCCACCCCAGGGCUUCGUGCAACAACCACCACCACCUGCUCAGAUGCCAGUGUAUUAUUACCCAUCUGGUCAGUACCCUACCUCAACAACUCAGCAGUACAGACCUAUUGCCUCAGUUCAGUACAAUGCACAGCGGAGUCAACAGAUCCCACAGACUCUAUCUUUCCCUCUCUCUUGCUUCUAUAUAUUUUUACUCCAGGCUCUUCUUUGCUGCGAAUUGACCAUUUUUUCCAGAGUUCACUUACUGGUCAACAUGCUCUCUAUAUGUACUGUAUUGAUGUGGAAGGUGGUGGUUGCAUUCUUUUAUUCUGCAGCAUUUGCUAUUUUACUGUGAUUUCUUUGGCACAUGCUUUUUAUGCAUUCUGUAUGGUUUUGUCUCUUUCAAUUAAAUUCUUUUUUUUUCUGUUUCUUAAAGUAUCUGGGAAGAAAUUUGGUCACUAGUAGUCCUUUUCCUAGCAAAGCUAGGAAGCAAGCAGCGGUUUUUGAAGUGACACAGUGCAAACCUCCCGAUUACUGUUACCACUAAUCUGCUUGACUUGAACUCCUGCUCCCCUUCCAGUUGUGUUUGAUGUUGUGAGUCUUGGAGCUUUAGGGCCUGUAGUUAGCUGCUAUUCUGUUUCUUUGCAGAUGCCAGUGUAUUAUUACCCAUCUGGUCAGUACCCUACCUCAACAACUCAGCAGUACAGACCCAUUGCCUCAGUUCAGUACAAUGCACAGCGGAGUCAACAGAUCCCACAGACUGCACAGCAAGCAGGUUACCAGCCUGUCCUGCCGAACCAGCAGCAGGGGUUCCAGGGUCUCAUGGGAAUGCAGCAGCCGCCCCAAAGCCAGAACCUGAUGAAUAAUCAACAGGGAAAUCAGGUGCAAGGCAUGAUGGUGCAGUAUCCAGCCAUGUCGUCUUAUCAGGUGCCAAUGACCCAGGGUUCUCAAGGAUUGCCACAACAAUCAUACCAACAACCAAUCAUGCUACCUAAUCAAUCAGGUCAAGGAACACUUACAGCCACUGGAAUGCCUGUCUACUGUAAUGUCAUACCUCCUGCCCCACAGAACAACCUACGGCUGAUCGCCCCACACUGCCCCUCCAAUAACGUUCCAGUUAUUUCUGCCAGCUGCAGGACAAACUGUGCGAGCAUUAACAGUGCAGGGUGGCAGGUCAAAUACUGACACUGGCUCAGUGUGGAUAUACGAGGAUAGUGGUGCAUUAUCUGACAAAUAACUCAUGGCCUUCAAACGAAGAGGAACACAACAGGAUAAUCAGUUGAGGACAGAAAUACUGACUAUGCUCAAGUGAUUUGCUGCUGGAAAAGUCUGUAAAAAAAAAUAAAAAUAAAAUAAAUUUUGAAAAAAAAAAUAAAGAUGUUUGCUGGUUAAUGGUGCAUAUUUUUGUCAUGUCUGCUAGGUAUGCCUUUAUAGCUUAGCUAGUGACAUGAAUUCAUUGAGGUAAGAUUUUUUCCUACCACUGAACACCACUGUGUAGAUUGUAAUAUCCCCGAUUCGGAUUAGUUUUGUACUUUGUGUUGAGUUUGUGAAGCUAAAAGUAUUUAAAAAUAUAACAAAAUCACAUUGUACCAAAGCUGUAACGGAAAUGGUAAAAUAAAAGAAAUUAAAAAAAAAAAAAAAGAAUUACUGAAUGGAAGGAAUAAUUUAUAUACACUAUAGAGGUUUUUUUAUGGAUAUAUACUGUAUUGUAGUGCUUAAUCACAAUAAAGCUAUUUGACCUCAUGGAGAAAGGUCAUGUUUCUA